UUCAGAUGUUUUUAGACAUAAAUUAGACGUAUGUACUAAGAUUUAUACGCGAAUCAUCCUAAAUCGCAGUAACAAGUGUUUCAGCGUUAAAUCUGCAAAAAAAAAUACCAACGCAAAUACAUAAAACGUGAUAUUUUGGUCGCUUAUGGUAACCUCUCAAGUAGAGAGUAAAACAGAAACACUAACUUCAUCAACACCGCAGAACGAUAUACGAGUAACAUUCGAACACUUGUGGUUCAGCAUAAAAAACGCUCUCGAAAGCAGAAAUAAAGAUUUUUAUCCAUAGAUUUAAUCCAAGGAUUACGUUCAAAUCAUAAGUAUACAUUCGAUAAAUUAGUUUAUUAAACAAAAUAAAAGUUGAUUUGCUACUUGAAAAAAAUAUCGUUGCUUGUCAUCAUGCCCAAAGGAGGUUCAUCAAACCAAGUUCCACCGAAUCACGAGGUGUUGAACAGCUGCGAAAAAUGUGGCGAAUUGACAACCACCACAUUUUUGAAUCCAGAUAAAUUUUGUUGGCGUGAUGGUGCAAAAAUUGACCAAGUUGUCGUCCCAAAAUCCCAAAAUCAAAAAUGAUUUUCAUGCGGAACAAUUUUUUGUUAUUUUUCAAUGGAAAAUAAAAAAGAUAAUACGAUUUUCAAUCGUUAUAAAUUAAUAA